rnacentral:rRNA from 1 species
GAUGAACGCUAGCGGCAGGCCUAACACAUGCAAGUCGAGGGAGAAGCCUUUCGGGGCAGAAACCGGCGCACGGGUGCGUAACGCGUAUGCAACCUACCUUUCACAGGGGGAUAGCCCGAAGAAAUUUGGAUUAAUACCCCAUAAUAUUGUUGGAUGGCAUCAUCUGGCAAUUAAAACUGAGGUGGUGAAAGAUGGGCAUGCGUCCUAUUAGCUAGUUGGAGUGGUAACGGCACCCCAAGGCUACGAUAGGUAGGGGUCCUGAGAGGGAGAUCCCCCACACUGGUACUGAGACAGGGACCAGACUCCUACGGGAGGCAGCAGUGAGGAAUAUUGGUCAAUGGUCGGAAGACUGAACCAGCCAUGCCGCGUGCAGGAAGAAUGCCUUAUGGGUUGUAAACUGCUUUUAUAUGGGAAGAAUAAGGUGUACGUGUACAUUGAUGACGGUACCAUAUGAAUAAGCAUCGGCUACUCUC